GACGAACGCUGGCGGCGUGCUUAACACAUGCAAGUGGAGCGACGAACCAGGGCUUGCCCUGGGGCAGAGCCGCGAACGGGUGAGUAACACGUGGGUAACGUGCCCCGAUGAUCGGGACAACCCGGGGAAACCCGGGCUAAUACCGAAUGUGCUCCCCUCACACCAGUGAGGGAUGGAAAGGAAGCUUCGGCCUCCGCAUCGGGAUCGGCCGCGGCCCAUUAGCUUGUUGGUGAGGUAACGGCUCACCAAGGCUGCGAUGGGUAGCUGGUCUGAGAGGACGAUCAGCCACACUGGGACUGAGACACGGCCCAGACUCCUACGGGAGGCAGCAGUGGGGAAUCUUGCGCAAUGCGCGAAAGCGUGACGCAGCAACGCCGCGUGGGGGAAGAC
rnacentral:rRNA from 1 species